AGCGGCGGACGGGGGAGUAACGCGUGGGUAACCUGCCUCAUACAGGGGGAUAACAGUUAGAAAUGACUGCUAAUACCGCAUAAGACCACGGUACCGCAUGGUACAGUGGUAAAAACUCCGGUGGUAUGAGAUGGACCCGCGUCUGAUUAGGUAGUUGGUGGGGUAACGGCCUACCAAGCCGACGAUCAGUAGCCGACCUGAGAGGGUGAUCGGCACAUUGGGACUGAGACACGGCCCAG
rnacentral:rRNA from 1 species